ACAGAGAGAGGCGGCGAAACCGUUACCAUUACUGAGUUUAGUAAUGGUAAGGGUUCUGCUGCCUUUUCUCAA
rnacentral:pre_miRNA from 8 species